rnacentral:rRNA from 1 species
GUCGAGCGCGAACGUUCCUUCGGGAACAAGUAGAGCGGCGGACGGGUGAGUAACGCGUGGGAAAUUGCCCAGUAGUGGGGGACAACAUUCGGAAACGGAUGCUAAUACCGCAUACGCCCUACGGGGGAAAGCAGGGGAUCUUCGGACCUUGCGCUAUUGGAUAUGCCCGCGUCGGAUUAGCUAGUUGGUGAGGUAAUGGCUCACCAAGGCAACGAUCCGUAGCUGGUCUGAGAGGAUGAUCAGCCACACUGGGACUGAGACACGGCCCAGACUCCUACGGGAGGCAGCAGUGGGGAAUAUUGGACAAUGGGCGCAAGCCUGAUCCAGCCAUGCCGCGUGUGUGAAGAAGGCCCUAGGGUUGUAAAGCACUUUCAGUAGGGAGGAAGGCCUUAAAGUUAAUACCUUUGAGGAUUGACGUUACCUACAGAAGAAGCACCGGCUAACUCCGUGCCAGCAGCCGCGGUAAUACGGAGGGUGCGAGCGUUAAUCGGAAUUACUGGGCGUAAAGCGCGCGUAGGCGGUUAGUUAAGCUGGAUGUGAAAGCCCCGGGCUCAACCUGGGAACUGCAUUCAGAACUGGCUGGCUAGAGUACGAGAGAGGGUAGUGGAAUUUCCUGUGUAGCGGUGAAAUGCGUAGAUAUAGGAAGGAACAUCAGUGGCG